rnacentral:tRNA from 3 species
AGCGCAGCGGACUGCGCUCGGAGAAGCCCUGCUUCUGCACCGUUGGACGCGGGUUCGAUUCCCGCCAUCUCCA